GACGAACGCUGGCGGCGUGCUUAACACAUGCAAGUCGAACGGAAAGGCCCUGCUUUUGUGGGGUGCUCGAGUGGCGAACGGGUGAGUAACACGUGAGUAACCUGCCCUUGACUUUGGGAUAACUUCAGGAAACUGGGGCUAAUACCGGAUAGGAGCUCCUGCUGCAUGGUGGGGGUUGGAAAGUUUCGGCGGUUGGGGAUGGACUCGCGGCUUAUCAGCUUGUUGGUGGGGUAGUGGCUUACCAAGGCUUUGACGGGUAGCCGGCCUGAGAGGGUGACCGGCCACAUUGGGACUGAGAUACGGCCCAGAAUCCUACGGGAGGCAGCAGUGGGGAAUAUUGCACAAUAGGCGGAAGCCUGAUGCAGAAACGCCGCGUGCGGGAUGACGGCCUUCGGGUUGUAAACCGCUUUCGCCUGUGACGAAGCGUGAGUGACGGUAAUGGGUAAAGAAGCACCGGCUAACUACGUG
rnacentral:rRNA from 1 species